GACGUAGGAGGCGAGCGUUGUCCGGAUUCAUUGGGCGUAAAGAGCUUGUAGGCGGUCUGUCGCGUCUGCUGUGAAAAUCCGGGGCUCAACCCCGGACUUGCAGUGGGUACGGGCAGACUAGAGUGUGGUAGGGGAGACUGGAAUUCCUGGUGUAGCGGUGAAAUGCGCAGAUAUCAGGAGGAACACCGAUGGCGAAGGCAGGUCUCUGGGCCACUACUGACGCUGAGAAGCGAAAGCAUGGGGAGCGAACAGG
rnacentral:rRNA from 1 species